GGCUGCUUGGCUAAGGGGUUACGGCGUCGCACUUGUACAACGGGCGUUAUGCGAAGAUCAGGAGUUCAAAUCUCCUAGUAGCCU